GAUGAACGCUAGCUACAGGCUUAACACAUGCAAGUCGAGGGGCAGCAUGGUCUUAGCUUGCUAAGGCCGAUGGCGACCGGCGCACGGGUGAGUAACACGUAUCCAACCUGCCGUCUACUCUUGGACAGCCUUCUGAAAGGAAGAUUAAUACAAGAUGGCAUCAUGAGUCCGCAUGUUCACAUGAUUAAAGGUAUUCCGGUAGACGAUGGGGAUGCGUUCCAUUAGAUAGUAGGCGGGGUAACGGCCCACCUAGUCUUCGAUGGAUAGGGGUUCUGAGAGGAAGGUCCCCCACAUUGGAACUGAGACACGGUCCAAACUCAUACGGGAGGCAGCAGUGAGGAAUAUUGGUCAAUGGGAGAGAGCCUGAACCAGCCAAGUAGCGUGAAGGAUGACUGCCCUAUGGGUUGUAAACUUCUUUUAUAAAGGAAUAAAGUCGGGUAUGGAUACCCGUUUGCAUGUACUUUAUGAAUAAGGAUCGGCUAACUCCGUG
rnacentral:rRNA from 1 species